UGGGGAAUUUUGGACAAUGGGCGCAAGCCUGAUCCAGCCAUGCCGCGUGCGGGAAGAAGGCCUUCGGGUUGUAAACCGCUUUUGUCAGGGAAGAAACGCUCUGGGCUAAUACCCUGGGGUAAUGACGGUACCUGAAGAAUAAGCACCGGCUAACUACGUGCCAGCAGCCGCGGUAAUACGUAGGGUGCAAGCGUUAAUCGGAAUUACUGGGCGUAAAGCGUGCGCAGGCGGUUAUGCAAGACAGAUGUGAAAUCCCCGGGCUCAACCUGGGAACUGCAUUUGUGACUGUAUAGCUAGAGUACGGUAGAGGGGGAUGGAAUUCCGCGUGUAGCAGUGAAAUGCGUAGAUAUGCGGAGGAACACCGAUGGCGAAGGCAAUCCCCUGGACCUGUACUGACGCUGAGGCGCGAAAGCAUGGGGAGCAAACAGGAUUAGAUACCCCUGUAGUCCCUGAGCGGGCUGGCAAGGCGCAU
rnacentral:rRNA from 1 species